CGGUAAUCGGUGAUCGCGUCCAUAGCACGAGACACGCGGUGUCGGUCAGAGGUCAACGAGGACUGAGCUCGCAGCGCGCGCCGCCGCACGGCCAGCUCUUAUCGCGAGUGAUUCACGUCAGCCUCAGAUACCGAAAUAAUUUCUGAAAAUGAAUAUUCCCCAUUCAGCAGGAUGGUGUUGUUGCACCGCUGCGUGUGACAGAUCACGGCUUUUCUUUUCGGGAGUCGUGGUGCGCCGCGUGGUGGUGAUGCCAGGUCUGGUGCGGCGCGAAGUGCGCGUACUGCUGCAAUCGCGGCCCGCUGGCGACGUAUCCAAGCCCGUAGCCCUCGGC